UCUUCGGAAGAUUUGAUAUUUGACUGAGCGGCGGACGGGUGAGUAACGCGUGGGUAACCUGCCUCAUACAGGGGAAUAACAGUUAGAAAUGGCCGCUAAUGCCGCAUAAGCGCACAGGACCGCAUGGUCUGGUGUGAAAAACUGAGGUGGUAUGAGAUGGACCCGCGUCUGAUUAGGUAGUUGGUGGGGUAACGGCCUACCAAGCCGACGAUCAGUAGCCGGCCUGAGAGGGUGAACGGCCACAUUGGGACUGAGACACGGCCCAGACUCCUACGGGAGGCAGCAGUGGGGAAUAUUGCACAAUGGGGGAAACCCUGAUGCAGCGACGCCGCGUGAAGGAAGAAGUAUCUCGGUAUGUAAACUUCUAUCAGCAGGGAAGAAAAUGACGGUACCUGACUAAGAAGCCCCGGCUAACUACGUGCCAGCAGCCGCGGUAAUACGUAGGGGGCAAGCGUUAUCCGGAUUUACUGGGUGUAAAGGGAGCGUAGACGGAAGAGCAAGUCUGAUGUGAAAGGCUGGGGCUUAACCCCAGGACUGCAUUGGAAACUGUUUUUCUAGAGUGCCGGAGAGGUAAGCGGAAUUCCUAGUGUAGCGGUGAAAUGUGUAGAUAUUAGGAGGAACACCAGUGGCGAAGGCGGCUUACUGGACGGUA
rnacentral:rRNA from 1 species